UCAAGUUAUUAAGGGUGCAGGGCGGAUGCCUUGGCACUAGGAGCCGAUGAAGGACGUGAUAAGCUGCGAUAAGCUUCGGGGAGUUGCACGUAAACUUUGAUCCGAAGAUUUCCGAAUGAGGAAACUCACUUAGAGUAAUGUCUAAGUAUCAUUAAGUGAAUACAUAGCUUAAUGAGGGGAACUCAGGGAACUGAAACAUCUAAGUACCUGAAGGAAGAGAAAGAAAUUCGAUUCCGUAAGUAGCGGCGAGCGAACGCGGAUUAGCCCAAACCAAUAAAGUUUUCUUUAUUGGGGUUGCGGACAUAUCAUAACGAAGAGGUAUCGUAAUUGAAGAGGUUUGGAAAGACCCACCACAGAAGGUAAUAGUCCUGUAUGUUAAACGAGAAGACUUUAGAUAUGAUCCAGAGUACCACGGGACACGUGAAACCCUGUGGGAAGCAGGAGGGACCACCCUCCAAGGCUAAAUACUACCUAGUGACCGAUAGCGUAUAGUACCGUGAGGGAAAGGUGAAAAGAACCCCGGGAGGGGAGUGAAAUAGAACCUGAAACCCUGCACUUACAAGCUGUGGAAGCACAUUUCUUGUGUGACCGCGUACUUUUUGUAGAACGGGCCAACGAGUUACGUUAAGUAGCAAGGUUAAGCACUUAAGGUGCGGAGCCGUAGCGAAAGCGAGUUUUAACUGAGCGUUCAGUUACUUGACGUAGACCCGAAACCGGGCGACCUACCCAUGAGCAGGAUGAAGCGAAAGUAAAAUUUCGUGGAGGUCCGAACCCACGAGCGUUGAAAAGCUCGGGGAUGACUUGUGGGUAGCGGUGAAAUUCCAAUCGAGCCCGGAGAUAGCUGGUUCUCCCCGAAAUAGCUUUAGGGCUAGCCUCAAGGUGAGAGAUACGGAGGUAGAGCACUGAAUGUCCUAGGGGGUAUUGCACCUACCGAAGACUAUCAAACUCCGAAUGCCGUCAUCUUAUACUUGGGAGUCAGACUGUGGGUGAUAAGAUUCAUAGUCGAAAGGGCAACAGCCCAGAUCGUCAGCUAAGGUCCCUAAAUGUAAGUUAAGUGGUAAAGGAUGUGGGAUUGCACAGACAACCAGGAUGUUGGCUUAGAAGCAGCCACUCAUUCAAAGAGUGCGUAAUAGCUCACUGGUCGAGUGAUCCUGCGCCGAAGAUUUCCGGGGCUAAAACUUACUACCGAAGCUACGGCAUCAGUAAUGAUGGGUAGGGGAGCUUCCCAUACGGGUUGAAGCAUGACCGUAAGGACAUGUGGACAGUAUGGGAGUGAGAAUGUUGGCAUGAGUAGCGAGAUGUGGGUGGGAAUCCCACAGGCCGUAAACCCAAGGUUUCCAGGGGAAGGUUCGUCCGCCCUGGGUUAGUCGGGACCUAAGCUGAGGCCGAAAGGCGUAGGUGAUGGACAACAGGUUGAUAUUCCUGUACUACCGAUAACCGUUUGAGAGAAGGGAUGACACAGUAGGAUAAGCUAAGCACACUGUUGGUUAUGUGUGCCCAAGCAUUGAGGCAGUCAAAGUAGGCAAAUCCGCUUUGAUAAUGCUGGGAUGUGAUGGGGAGCGAAAUUUAGUAGCGAAGUAGCUGAUUUCACACUGUCAAGAAAAGUCUCUAUCGAGGUUAAAGGUACCCGUACCGCAAACCGACACAGGUGGGUGAGGAGAGUAUCCUAAGGCCAGCGAGAGAACUGUUGUUAAGGAACUCGGCAAAAUGACCCCGUAACUUAGGGAUAAGGGGUGCCACCAUCAGGUGGCCGCAGAGAAUAGGCCCAAGCGACUGUUUACCAAAAACAUAGGUUUCUGCUAAGUCGCAAGACGAUGUAUAGGAGCUGACGCCUGCCCGGUGCUGGAAGGUUAAGGGGAUCUGUUAGAGCAAUCGAAGCAGUGAACUUAAGCCCCAGUAAACGGCGGCCGUAACUAUAACGGUCCUAAGGUAGCGAAAUUCCUUGUCGGGUAAGUUCCGACCCGCACGAAAGGCGUAACGAUUUGGGCACUGUCUCAACAACAGACUCGGUGAAAUUGUAAUUCCGGUGAAGAUGCCGGAUACCUGCGACAGGACGGAAAGACCCCAUGGAGCUUUACUGUAGCUUGACAUUGGGUCUUGGUACUACAUGUACAGGAUAGGUGGGAGGCUUUGAAACCAGGACGCCAGUUUUGGCGGAGCCAUCCUUGGGAUACCACCCUUGUAGUACUGGGACUCUAACCAUAGGCCAUGAAUCUGGUCUUGGGACACUGUCAGGUGGGCAGUUUGACUGGGGCGGUCGCCUCCCAAAAGGUAACGGAGGCGCUCAAAGGUUCUCUCAGUACGGUCGGAAAUCGUACGUAGAGUGUAAAGGCAAAAGAGAGCUUGAUUGCAAGACAUACAGGUCGAGCAAGGAUGAAAAUCGGACUUAGUGAUCCGGUGGUUCUGCGUGGAAGGGCCAUCGCUCAACGGAUAAAAGCUACCCUGGGGAUAACAGGCUUAUCUCCCCCAAGAGUCCACAUCGACGGGGAGGUUUGGCACCUCGAUGUCGGCUCAUCACAUCCUGGGGCUGUAGUAGGUCCCAAGGGUUGGGCUGUUCGCCCAUUAAAGUGGUACGCGAGCUGGGUUCAGAACGUCGUGAGACAGUUCGGUCCCUAUCCGUCGCAGGCGUAGGAAAUUUGAGAAGACCUGUCCUUAGUACGAGAGGACCGGGAUGGACGUACCUCUGGUGUACCAGUUGUUCUGCCAAGGGCAUGGCUGGGUAGCUAUGUACGGAAUGGAUAAGCGCUGAAAGCAUCUAAGCGCGAAGCCAACUUCAAGAUAAGAUUUCCCACCGCAAGGGUAAGACCCCAGAAAGACUAUCUGGUUGAUAGGUCGAAGGUGUAAGUGCAGCAAUGUAUUUAGCUUAUCGAUACUAAUAGGUCGAGGACUUGACCAA
rnacentral:rRNA from 1 species